AACGAACGCUGGCGGCGCGCCUAAUACAUGCAAGUCGAGCGAGAAGACGUAGCAAUACGUUUGUAAAGCGGCGAACGGGUGAGGAAUACAUGGGUAACCUACCCUCGAGUGGGGAAUAACUAGCCGAAAGGUUAGCUAAUACCGCGUACGCUCCUUGGACUUCGGUUCAGGGAGGAAAGCGAUACCGUGGGUAUCGCGCUCUUGGAUGGGCUCAUGUCCUAUCAGCUUGUUGGUGAGGUAACGGCUCACCAAGGCUUCGACGGGUAGCUGGUCUGAGAGGACAAUCAGCCACACUGGCACUGCGACACGGGCCAGACUCCUACGGGAGGCAGCAGUAAGGAAUAUUGCGCAAUGGGCGAAAGCCUGACGCAGCGACGCCGCGGUGGGGGAU
rnacentral:rRNA from 1 species